rnacentral:rRNA from 1 species
GUGCCAGCCGCCGCGGUAAUACCGGCAGCCCGAGUGAUGGCCGAUCUUAUUGGGCCUAAAGCGUCCGUAGCUGGCUACGCAAGUCCGUCGGGAAAUCCACUCGCCCAACGAGUGGGCGUCCGACGGAAACUGCAUAGCUUGGGACCGGAAGGCUCGAGGGGUACGUUCGGGGUAGGAGUGAAAUCCUAUAAUCCCGCACGGACCACCGAUGGCGAAAGCACUUCGAGAAAACGGAUCCGACAGCGAGGGACGAAAGCUGGGAUCUCGAACCGGAUUAGAAACCCGAGUAGUCC